GGAGCCAUUUAUGGCGAAGUAUCUGAUUCCACACUGCCAAGAAAAGCCUCUAUCGAGUGAAUAGGUGCCCGUACCGCAAACCGACACAGGUAGGUGAGGAGAGAAUCCUAAGGCCAUCGGAAGAAUUGCUGUUAAGGAACUCGGCAAAUUGACCCCGUAACUUCGGGAGAAGGGGUGCCUACGAAAGUAGGCCGCAGAGAAUAGGCCCAAGCAACUGUUUAGCAAAAACACAGGUCUCUGCUAAAGCGAAAGCUGAUGUAUAGGGGCUGACGCCUGCCCGGUGCUGGAAGGUUAAGGGGAACACUUAGCGUAAGCGAAGGUGUGAACUUAAGCCCCAGUAAACGGCGGCCGUAACUAUAACGGUCCUAAGGUAGCGAAAUUCCUUGUCGGGUAAGUUCCGACCCGCACGAAUGGCGUAAUGAUUUGGGCACUGUCUCAACAGCAAAUCCGGCGAAAUUGUAGUGCAAGUGAAGAUGCUUGCUACCCGCGAUUGGACGGAAAGACCCCGUAGAGCUUUACUGUAGCUUAGCAUUGAAUCUCGGUAUUGUCUGUACA
rnacentral:rRNA from 1 species